AAUCCCUUUACCCCGAGUAGAGAGGACGAUUAUUGGGCCUAAAGCCUCCGUAGCCGGUCAAGUAGGUUUCUCGUUAAAUCUAGCGAUCCAAUCGUUAGGCUGCGGGAAAUACCGCUAGACUAGGGGGCGGAAGAGGCCGACGGUACUCUUAGGGUAGGGGUGAAAUCCUAUAAUCCUAAGAGGACCACCAGUGGCGAAGGCGGUCGGCCAGAACGCGCCCGACGGUGAGGGAUGAAAGCUGGGGGAGCGAACCGGAUUAGAUACCCGGGUAGUCCCAGCUGUAAACGAUGCGGGCUAAGUGUCAGGAUGGCUUUUGAGUCAUUCUGGUGCUGCAGGGAAGCCGUUGAGCCCGCCGCCUGGGGUGUACGGCCGCAAGGCUGAAACUUAAAGGAAUUGGCGGGGGAGCACCACAAGGGGUGAAUCUUGCGGUUUCAAUUGGAGUCAACGCCGGGAACCUUACCAGGGGUGACAGUUGGAUGAAGGCCAGAUUAAAGGUCUUGUCUGACUAGCUGAGAGGAGGUGCAUGACCGUCACCAGUUCAUACCGUGAGGUAUCCCGUUAAGUCGGGAAACGAGCGAGACCCACACCCUUAGUUGCAAACGAGCUCCGAAAGGGGCUCAUGCCCUCUAAGGGGACCACCGACGAUAAGGCGGAGGAAGGAGUGGGCCACGGCAGGUCAGUAUGCCCCGAAUCUCAUGGGCCACACGUGAGCUGCAAUGGUUGGGACAAUGGGUUCUGACCCCGAAAGGGGAAAGCAAUCCCCAAACCCAGCCUCAGUUGGGAUCGAGGGCUGCAACUCGUCCUCGUGAACAUGGAAUCCCUAGUAAUCGCGUGUCAUCAGCGCGCGGUGAAUACGUCCCUGCUCCUUGCACACACCGCCCGUCGCUCCAACCGAGUUGGGUUUUGGUGAGGCACGGUCUAGUUGGCCGUGUCGAACCUAGGUUCAACAAGGGGGGAGAAGUCGUAACAAGG
rnacentral:rRNA from 1 species